GCAGCACAGACACAGGCUCCUUGAAGACGCCCGUGGUGAGAUCAGCCCCAGGUCGCCGCUUCCACAGACAGGCCUUUUCCUAAAGUGGAUGAAGGGAGUCAAAUAGGCCAGCUUCGUGUCUUGAUCUGCCUUUGCUGUCAUUCACGCAUCUGUCCUCAUGAAGGCUUAACCUACCAUGUUUAUCAGAAAUCUCAGCCUAAAUUCAUUCGAUUUUUACCUAGAGAUGAGGAAUGUGUUAAAUCACUCUACUCCACAAGGAACCAAACCAAACAGCAUCAGCACCAGGCUGAGUCGCGGAAAGGAUCUGUCAGACCGCUCCACUGGCAUCGACUCAGCUCGGGAGCUACGUUCAAAGAAGGGUGAGUUGCCCGGGAGGAGACCACCCAGAGCAGUAGCCCUCUUCCUGGGCACAGGGAAGACGCACCCCAUACCAGGGCCCUCCUCGGCACAGGAGGACACACCCCCACCAGGGCCUUCACUCAGUACUGUCUGAGAGAGAAAAGGCUCAGGGUGGCAGUGACAAAGGAUGCACUGAACUCGCAACUCUAGGGACACGCCAGCCCCACAGACAGGCGGACGGAGGAACAUUCGAACAUCAGUGGCAGACACAGCCAUGCAGGGAAGCACCCACCCGCUGGCAACCCGGAUGGGCUGUGGUUCUUACCAUGACCAGCUUCCUAAUGACCUGGGAGCCAUGGGGAACGUGGGCAUCUCCACCAGAGCUGCUGGGCACAGGUUUCUGAAAAUCAAGUUUCCAAGAGAAAAGAGAAAAAUCCAGAACUCACUUGAAAUAUAUAAGAAGUAACAGAGUUUAUAAAAUUCACACAGCUAAUAACAAGUGUUAGGGCAGGUGUAAGUGUUUUAAAUAAUAAACGCUUAAAAAAAAUAAAAAUAGGCUGGGCAGAGUGGCUCAUGCCUAUAAUGCCAGCACUUUGGAGGCUGAGGUGGGAGGAUUGCUUGGGUCCAGGAGUCUGAGACCAGCCUGGGCAAUGUAGUGAGCUCCCAUCUCAACAAAAAAUUUUUAAAAAUUAGCUGGGCAUGGUGGUGCACACCUGUAGCCCCAGCUACUUGGGAGGCUGAGAUUGGAGGAUCACUUGAGCCCAGGAGGUCACGGCUACAGCUAGUUGUAAUGGCACCACUGCACUCCAGCCCGAGUGCCAGAGACAGACCCUGUCUCAAAAUAAC
rnacentral:lncRNA from 10 species